UCAAGCUACGAAGGGUGUGCGAUGAAUGCCUAGGGACGAGUUGCCGAAGAAGGACGCGUAAGCGGCGAUACGCCGCGGGGAGCUGCACAGAAGCGAUGAUCCGCGGAUUUCCGAAUGGGGAAACCCGCCAGGGGUAAUGCCUUGGUACCCACAUCUGAAUCCAUAGGGUGUGAGGAGGGAACCGGGUGAACUGAAACAUCUAAUUAACCCGAGGAAAAGAACUCGAAGAGACUCCGUAAGUAGCGGCGAGCGAAAGCGGAAGAGCCUAAACCAGGGGGCUUGCCCUCUGGGGUCGUGGGGCCACCACUAAGCUUUCGAAACUAUGGGUUCGACCUAUAGUUUUGGAAGCUUAGAAAAGAAGAUCGAUACUGGUUAGUAGAAUGCUCUGGAAAGGGCAUCCAUAGAGGGUGACAGGCCCGUAUACCAAAACCAAGUCGAAUUCAGGUGGUACCCGAGUAGCACGGAUCACGAGGAAUUCCGUGUGAAUCUGUCCGGACCACCGGAUAAGGCUAAGUACGACUCGUCACCGAUAGUGCAUCCAGUACCGUGAGGGAAAGGUGAAAAGAACCCCGGGAGGGGAGUGAAAUAGAACCUGAAAUCGCACGACCCGCAAACAGUCAGAGCACCAUGUCGGGAGUAAUCCUGUCAAGUGUGAUGGCGUACCUUUUGCAGAAUGAGCCUGCGAGUUACUAGUGCCGGCAAGGUUAAGUGUCUCAGACACGGAGCCGGAGGGAAACCGAGUCCGAAUAGGGCGUCAAGUCGGUAUUAGUAGACCCGAAACUGCGUGAUCUAGCCAUGGUCAGGGUGAAGUGUUGGUAACACAACAUGGAGGCCCGAACUCAUUGACGUUGAAAAGUCUCGGGAUGAACUGUGGUUAGUCCGGUGAAAUGCCAAUCGAACGCAGAGAUAGCUGGUUCUCCCCGAAAUGCAUUUGGGUGCAGCGUUACGUGUUUUCAUACGGGGGUAGAGCACUGAAUGGGCUAGGGGGCCUACCAGCUUACUGAACCCAACCAAACUCCGAAUACCGUAUGAUUAGCGUAGCAGUGAGACUGCGAGGGAUAAGCUCCGUGGUCAAAAGGAAAACAGUCCAGAUCGUCAGCUAAGGGCCCUAAACAUAGACUAAGUGUGAAACGAUGUGAAGUCGCGUAAACAGCCAGGAGGUUGGCUUAGAAGCAGCCACCCUUUAAAAAGUGCGUAAUAGCUUACUGGCCGAAUGUGACUUUGCGCGGAUAAUGUAAGGGGGCUAAAGUCUAUUCCCGAAGCUACGGGAUCCCGCAAGAGCGGUGAUCGGUAGGGGAGCGUCCUGUUCUGCGGUGAAGCCUGAGCGUAAGCACAGGUGGAGCGUACAGGAGCGAGAAUGCAGGCAUGAGUAGCGAUCACAGGGGUGAGAAUCCCCUGCGCCGAAAACCUAAGGUUUCUCCGGCUAUGUUCGUCAGACGGAGGUUAGGCGGUCCCUAAGGCGAGGCCAGAAGGCGUAGCCGAUGGACAUCCGGUUGAAAUUCCGGACCUUGGUGCAGUAGCGAUGGAGGGACGCUUCUAUAGGUUCCAUCCCACACCGUUGGUUGUUGUGGGCUACCGGGAUAACCCAGCCGUUUAAUAGAUGGCUUUUCAAAGGGUGGGGCCGGGGGGAAGGGAUGGCUUCGGCUUGAACGAACUGGGACUGAAGGGGGCCGAGAAAAGCUUCUAAGCAUAUACUGCAUCAAACCGUACUGCAAACCGACACAGGUAGGUGAGUCGAGGAGACUCAGGCGUUCGAGAGAACUCUCGUUAAGGAACUAGGCAAACGAGCCCCGUAACUUUGGAAGAAGGGGCGCCCCGCAAGGGGCCGCAGCGAAGCAGCCCAGGCGACUGUUUACCAAAAACACAGGUCUCUGCUAAGACGAAAGUCGAUGUAUAGGGGCUGACGCCUGCCCAAUGCCAGUCCAUUAAGCGGAGAUGUCAGGAGCAAUCUGAAGCAUUGAAGUGAAGUGCUGGUGAAUGGCGGCCGUAACUCUAACGGUCCUAAGGUAGGAAUUAAUGCAACUGCCUUAGUAAAAUCUAGCUAUAUGCUGGGAAGUCUGAGUAUCUCGGAUUACGAAUCGAAAGAUCGUGACAAUAUCCGAGCGCAGAUCAUCAGCAGGAAAGAUCCCGACCCUGUCGGGAAAUCCUCAGAGGCCAUACGCUAGAUAUUCGAAGGAUGGCACCUUCGGAUAAAGAAAUGGUCCCAUCUGCAUGGCGACAUGCAGGGAUGAUCCAGCUCAAGAUGGAUCGUCCACUCGAUCAUAAAGGUCGAGCAAGACAAUGAGCGAAAUUCCUUGUCGGCUAAAUACCGACCCGCAUGAAAGGCGUAACGAC
rnacentral:rRNA from 1 species